CCUACGGGCGGCAGCAGUAGGGAAUAUUGCUCAAUGGGGGAAACCCUGAAGCAGCAACGCCGCGUGGAGGAUGAAGGUUUUCGGAUUGUAAACUCCUUUUGUUAGAGAAGAUAAUGACGGUAUCUAACGAAUAAGCACCGGCUAACUCCGUGCCAGCAGACGCGGUAAUACGGAGGGUGCAAGCGUUACUCGGAACCACUGGGCGUAAAGCGCGCGUAGGCGGGAUAGCAAGUCAGAUGUGAAAUCCUAUGGCUUAACCAUAGAACUGCAUUUGAAACUGUUAUUCUAGAGUAUGGGAGAGGUAGGUGGAAUUCUUGGUGUAGGGGUAAAAUCCGUAGAGAUCAAGAGGAAUACUCAUUGCGAAGGCGACCUGCUAGAACAUAACUGACGCUGAUGCGCGAAAGCGUGGGGAGCAAACAGGAUUAGAUACCCGGGUAGUC
rnacentral:rRNA from 1 species